rnacentral:lncRNA from 1 species
UAUAUCUGAUUCCAUAAGUAUUUUUUAUUAUGGCUUUUAAAGCAAAUUUAAGAGUGUCCUCUAGUGAACAGACAAUAAGUGAUGAUAACAUACAUGUCAUUUAACUUGUCACUUAACAUAGUGACAUAAUCAUGUGACAUAGUAUGAUCUGGCAUAAUGUGAUGACAUAAAUGACAUACAUUAAUACAACAUACGGUAGAAUGCAUCCUACCAAGAAAAUUAUUAUCAAAUCUGAGACUUCUAAAAUGGAUAUUUAUUGGUCAAAAUUUACUAUAAUGACUUUUUUUUAAAACGUUGAUGAAUUUCAAUUUUACUAACCUCGAAAUAAAUCUUUUAAUUUUAGGCCACAUCUGACUAGCUUUAAUUUUUGUCUUAUAAAUAGGUGCUGGCAGAUUGUUACUUCAGUUGUGGAAAAUUGUAAAUAUUUUUUUUAUUCAUCUUUAGUUUAAGUAGUGCAAAGAUGAAAAUCCAUCAUUUUAAACUACAAUUUUUGUUUUUAGUUAAGAUUAUUCAACUUAUCUUCAUACAUGGCAAACUAGACAACUUUUGCCUUAUAAACAUCAAUAAUUGAUCAAAAUGUCACUUCAAUUUACUAAAUUCCUAAUUUAACCUCAUUUCUAUUCUUUAAUCCAAUUAUUCUUUUAACGAAAUAUUAAAUAUUUGUACAUGUAAUAUUUCUCAUGAAACAUAGUCACAUGACCUAUACAUUAUAUGACAUAGCAACCACUCACAUGACACAGUAACA